UAAGCAUCAAAGGUUGUACCGCAUCUAUAGCUAGUCUAACGUACCUCUACUUGACAUAACAUUCCAGUUUUGAGAGGUCUGCAUCUCCAGCAGUUCCACCUCUACUUGACAUCACAUCUCUCCAGCUCUAUGUGUGGUUGUCCCCAUGAUGGAAAUCGAAGUCCAAAGAGAUCUCAAGAUGUACAGCAAGCACUCAACAACCAAAGAUUCCUCAAGGCUGACAGUUAGGACAGAAAUUGUUCUUACAAUACUGUACCACAACGAUUGUGUGCAUAACAGAAAAUCUUAAACAUGUACGACAAGAGAAGCAGGAAGGUACAGCAGCGAUGUAGCCAUGUUAAGAAAGUGAUGCAUUUCCUUAGUUGUCCCCUUCUUUACUUUGAGUGGAAGACUUUACUUUGUUGCUUGAAAGCCUUAAAGGUGGCGAUGUUAACAAUAUCUUUACCUCGUUAUAAGCACAAUGAA